rnacentral:tRNA from 1 species
GCAGUGGUGGUUCAGAGGUAGAAUUCUCGCCUUCCACGUGGGAGACCCGGGUUCAAUUCCUGGCCAGUGCA